AAAGAAACCAACCGGGAUUGCCCCAGUAACGGCGAGUGAAGCGGCAAAAGCUCAAAUUUGAAAUCUGGCCCCUCCGGGGUCCGAGUUGUAAUUUGCAGAGGAUGCUUCGGGUGCGGCCCCCGUCUAAGUGCCCUGGAACGGGCCGUCAGAGAGGGUGAGAAUCCCGUCUUGGGCGGGGUGUCCGUGCCCGUGUGAAGCUCCUUCGACGAGUCGAGUUGUUUGGGAAUGCAGCUCUAAAUGGGUGGUAAAUUUCAUCUAAAGCUAAAUACUGGCCGGAGACCGAUAGCGCACAAGUAGAGUGAUCGAAAGAUGAAAAGCACUUUGAAAAGAGAGUUAAACAGCACGUGAAAUUGUUGAAAGGGAAGCGCUUGCGACCAGACUCGCCCGCGGGGUUCAGCCGGCACUCGUGCCGGUGUACUUCCCCGUGGGCGGGCCAGCGUCGGUUUGGGCGGCCGGUCAAAGGCCUCCGGAAUGUAUCGCCCUCCGGGGCGUCUUAUAGCCGGGGGUGCAAUGCGGCCAGCCCGGACCGAGGAACGCGCUUCGGCACGGACGCUGGCAUAAUGGUCGCAAACGAC
rnacentral:rRNA from 1 species